rnacentral:lncRNA from 1 species
CUCCCUCAGGCGAGGCCGUCCCGCCGCGCGUUCCGCCUGCGCGGCCAGGCGUUCCUCUGCCGAGAGGUGGCCCUCGUGUGCUCAGAGCCGUAAUUGGAGCAGUCUUCCCCGGGACGGGAAAAACAGCUUAGGGAGGAGGAAGAAAAAGCAGGAAGAAAACGCGCAUCCUCCCGGAAACGGAGCGGGAGUGCAGACUUUGCGGUUUCUCGGAGGGACUCUGAAUUGAUACAGUGCUAUGGCAGAAUGGAACAGCGUCCUCGUUCUGCAGAGGAGACUGGAGACUCAUCAUCAGAACUUUACAGCAAUAGGACUCUAUGAAGAAAAAUGGGAACAGGCUGUGGCAUGCAAGCACUCUAUAAUCCCUGCAAAAAGCAUGGCAGAAGAUCA